GACGAAGGAUGCAAGCGUUAUCCGGAUUCAUUGGGUUUAAAGGGUGCGUAGGCGGACUUGUAAGUCAGUGGUGAAAUCUCUCAGCUUAACUGAGAAACUGCCAUUGAUACUGCAGGUCUAGAGUAUAGAUGACGUUGGCGGAAUAUGACAUGUAGUGGUGAAAUACUUAGAUAUGUCAUAGAACACCGAUUGCGAAGGCAGCUAACGAAAACUAUAACUGACGCUGAGGCACGAAAAGUGCGGGGGAUCAAACAGG
rnacentral:rRNA from 1 species